GUAGGUGGCAAGCGUUGUCCGGAAUUAUUGGGCGUAAAGCGCGCGCAGGUGGUUCUUUAAGUCUGAUGUGGAAGCCCCCGGCUCAACCGGGGAGGGUCAUUGGAAACUGGGGAACUUGAGUGCAGGAGAGGAAAGUGGAAUUCCACGUGUAGCGGUGGAAUGCGUAGAUAUGUGGAGGAACACCAGUGGCGAAGGCGACUUUCUGGCCUGUAACUGACACUGAGGCGCGAAAGCGUGGGGAGCAAACAGGGAUUAGAUACCCUGGUAGUCCACGCCGUAAACGAUGAGUGCUAAGUGUUGGGGGGGUUUCCGCCCCCUCAGUGCUGCAGCUAACGCAUUAGGCACUCCGCCUGGGAGUACGGCCGCAAGACUG
rnacentral:rRNA from 1 species